rnacentral:rRNA from 1 species
UGCUCCAUGAUUAUUAAAUAGCCGCAGUACUCUGACUGUGCAAAGGUAGCAUAAUCAGUUGGCUUUUAAUUGGAGUCUGGUAUGAACGAACACAUGGGUGGCGACUGUCUAAAUAUAUUUUUCCUAACUUUUUAAUCAAGUGAAAAUACUUGUGCUAAUAAAAAAGACGAGAAGACCCUAGAAACUUGAAAAGUUUUUUGUUGGGGCGACAGAGUUACAUGUAACUAAUUUUAUUAAACAUGACAUUAAUUAGAAAGGAUAAGUUACUCUAGGGAUAACAGCAUAAUUUUAAUAGGUUUGUGACCUCGAUGUUGGAUUUAGGGUACUAUACCCCUUUAGGCAAGGGGUUUAAGAUGCCU